AACGCUAGCUACAGGCUUAACACAUGCAAGUCGAGGGGUAGCGUGAGGGAAGCUUGCUUCCCUUGACGACGACCGGCGAAUGGGUGAGUCACGCGUGUCCAACCUGCCCCGUGCCCGGGGAUAGCCCUUGGAAAUGAGGAUUAAGACCCGAUAUGUGGCGCUUCCGCAUGGCGGCGCCAUGAAGCAGGCACGGGAUGGGGACGCGUCGGAUUAGCUUGACGGCGGGGCAACGGCCCACCGUGGCGACGAUCCGCAGGGGUUCUGAGAGGAAGGUCCCCCACACUGGCACUGAGACACGGGCCAGACUCCUACGGGAGGCAGCAGUGAGGAAUAUUGGUCAAUGGACGAGAGUCUGAACCAGCCAAGUAGCGUGCAGGAAGACGGCCCUAUGGGUUGUAAACUGCUUUUAUAAGGGAAUAAAGUGAGUCUCGUGAGACUUUUUGCAUGUACCUUAUGAAUAAGGACCGGCUAAUUCCGUGCCAGCAGCCGCGGUAAUACGGAAGGUCCGGGCGUUAUCCGGAUUUAUUGGGUUUAAAGGGAGCGUAGGCCGGAGAUUAAGCGUGUUGUGAAAUGUAGACGCUCAACGUCUGCACUGCAGCGCGAACUGGUUUCCUUGAGUACGCACAAAGUGGGCGGAAUUCGUGGUGUAGCGGUGAAAUGCUUAGAUAUCACGAAGAACUCCGAUUG
rnacentral:rRNA from 1 species